GGAGAGGUGCCGGAGUGGUUGAUCGGAGCGGUCUUGAAAACCGCAGGGCCUUCGCGCCCCGUGGGUUCGAAUCCCACCCUCUCCGCCA
rnacentral:tRNA from 1 species